rnacentral:tRNA from 1 species
CGUUUUGUAGCGCAGUGGUAAUAGCUUGUGGUUGUUCUCACGAGGUUGUGGGUUCGACUCCCACGGGAUGC